UACAGAGGGUGCAAGCGUUAAUCGGAAUUACUGGGCGUAAAGCGUGCGUAGACGGUUAUGUAAGUCCCGCGUGAAAGCCCCCGGCUCAACUGGGGAACUGCGCGGGAAACUGUCGGACUUGAGUUCGGGAGAGGGAAGCGGAAUUCCGGGUGUAGCGGUGAAAUGCGUAGAUAUCCGGAGGAACACCGGUGGCGAAGGCGGCUUCCUGGACCGACACUGACGCUGAGGCGCGAAAGACUAGGGGAGCAAACGGG
rnacentral:rRNA from 1 species